AACGCACAUUGCGCCUCUCCUUACAGGGAGGCAUGCCUGUCUGAGCGUCAUUUAUCCAAUAAAUCCUUUUCGGAUUUGUGUUGGGCUUUGCACCCCAAGGUGCAUCUCCCCAAAGCAGUGGGUCUGGAUUCAUGGAUGAGCUCCUUUUGGACUUGCCAUGGUUUGGCCGUUUUGGUGAGAGGCUCGCCUCUCUGCAUUUGACCUCAGAUCAGGUAGGAAGACCGCCUGAACUUAA
rnacentral:misc_RNA from 1 species